UCCCUGGUGGUCCAGUGGUUAAGACUCCAUGCUCCCUAUGCAGGGAGCCCAGGUUCAAUCCCUGGCCAGGGAA